UACGUAGGGUGCAAGCGUUGUCCGGAAUUAUUGGGCGUAAAGAGCUCGUAGGCGGUCUGUCACGUCGGCUGUGAAAUCCCGAGGCUCAACCUCGGGUCUGCAGUCGAUACGGGCAAACUAGAGUAUUGCAGGGGAGACUGGAAUUCCUGGUGUAGCGGUGAAAUGCGCAGAUAUCAGGAGGAAACCCGGUGGCGAAGGGGGGUCUCUGGGCAAUAACUGACGGUGAGGAGCGAAAGCGUGGGGAGCGAACAGG
rnacentral:rRNA from 1 species